GUGCUUGCUUCUGCAGCACAUAUAUUAAAAUUGGAACUAUACAAAGAAGAUGCACGAUGAUGACAUGCAAAUUCGUGAAGUGUUACAUUAAAAA
rnacentral:snRNA from 1 species